rnacentral:misc_RNA from 1 species
GGGAUUGAUAAAUUAUGAUAGCCUGAGUGUCCUUUGAAAACUGGAAAUAAGUCACUUGAUAACAGAAGCAGGUCUAAAAAUAAACAUUAUCACAAUUCCAUCCAAGUAUAAAUCAAGGUCUAUCGGUUAUAUUAUUAGCAUAUCAAUGUUUAAAGCAAGCUCCACCAGACGUGCACCAUACAAAAUUCCAGCACAGUACAAAAUUCAGUUGAGAGAAGAAAUAAAGCCUGAGAUCCAACCUUGUUCUCAUUCUUCAGGAGAAUCCGAGCGGAUGGUGGGUUUCUGAGGCUUGCCAUCAGCCCAUUUGGAGAUGGUGAAAUGGACCUUCUCACGGCUCAAAGCUUCGGACUUGUAAGGCUCCUUAAGGCAGUUUCUGACCAGGUUGGCGCAUAGGUUUGAGUAAGUUAUGUAAGUCAUCCCUGCCGACCUCCAAAACGGUGCAGCUGCGUUAGAAGCCAUUUUUCUGCUGCUUUUGCUUUCUCUCGGCUGCGUUCUGUUGUCACGGAUGAGAUGAGUACCUGCGCACAAUAUCCUGUCAAAUGUCGAUACAAGGG